AUUGAACGCUGGCGGCAUACUUUACACAUGCAAGUCGAACGGUAACAGGCCGCAAGGUGCUGACGAGUGGCGAACGGGUGAGUAAUGCAUCGGAACGUGCCCAGUCGUGGGGGAUAACUACUCGAAAGAGUAGCUAAUACCGCAUACGAUCUAUGGAUGAAAGCGGGGGACCGUAAGGCCUCGCGCGAUUGGAGCGGCCGAUGUCAGAUUAGGUAGUUGGUGGGGUAAAGGCUCACCAAGCCAACGAUCUGUAGCUGGUCUGAGAGGACGACCAGCCACACUGGGACUGAGACACGGCCCAGACUCCUACGGGAGGCAGCAGUGGGGAAUUUUGGACAAAGGGCGCAAGCCUGAUCCAGCAAUGCCGCGUGCAGGAAGAAGGCCUUCGGGUUGUAAACUGCUUUUGUACGGAACGAAACGGCUCUGGUUAAUACCCGGGGCUAAUGACGGUACCGUAAGAAUAAGCACCGGCUAACUACGUG
rnacentral:rRNA from 1 species